CAGGUUCGGAAGUAGCGGACGUUUGUAGCAGUGGCUUGUGUGCGUGCGUGGUUGUGUGCGUGUGAUUGUGUGUGUGUGCGUGCGCGCGCGAGCGUGCGUGUGUGUGAGCGAGUCCGGGGUGUCAGUGUAUGUGUGAGGUGCCAGCCACCCUUCUUCCCCUACACGUUGAUCUUAUUCGAUCGGCCGGGCCCCGCCGGGCCGAGGUGAGAAGAAAAUGCCGCGAAGCCUCCGGGCGCUGUGCGGCUGGGCCGGGUGGGAUGAGUCGAUCAGAUAGGCGAGGCCACGGCCGCUGAGCGCCCUGCGAUUCUGACCCGU
rnacentral:snoRNA from 1 species